GUCAACAACUUGUAACAAGCUUGAUGGAAUUAUCAGACAUGUUGCAAGGUUGUUCAUGUUACAAGUCUGAUACAGUCAUGAUAUAACAAGACUGUUACAAGGUUGACGACACAAGGUUGUAACAAUAUUGUUAUAUCAUGACUGUAACGGACUUGUUGGAACAACCUUGUAACAAGUCUGAUAAUAUCAAUAAGGUUGUUACAAGUUGUUGAC